rnacentral:misc_RNA from 1 species
GAUGAAGAACGUAGCGAAAUGCGAUACGUAGUGUGAAUUGCAGAAUUCCGUGAACCAUCGAAUCUUUGAACGCAAAUUGCGCUCGAGGCCUCGGCUAAGAGCAUGUCUGGCUCAGCGUCGGCUUACUACCCUCAAUCAAUUACCUUGUGAUGAUUGGUUGGAGCUGGCUUUCCGGUGUUCCAAUCAGGUUGCCGGUCAGCUGAAAAACAUUCACGCUGUGGAAGUCGCUUUCCCUUCAAAAAGGAAAGCCGAGUUCCGAUUUGGUAGGUGACCUUUGCCGGUUGCAUGCCUUCGUUGCUCGUUUUGGCUUUCAUGAUAGCGUGUGCAGGACGCCAUUUUGGCUUUCGACCUGAGCUCAGGCAAGAACAACCGCUGAACUUAAGCAUAUCAAUAAGCGGAGGA